rnacentral:rRNA from 1 species
UACGCAGGGUGCGAGCGUUGUCCGGAAUUACUGGGCGUAAAGGGCGCGUAGGCGGUCCCUCAAGUCGGGCGUGAAAGCCCCGGGCUCAACCUGGGAACCGCGCUUGAGACUGAUGGGCUAGAGUUCGGGAGAGGAUGGUGGAAUUCCCAGUGUAGAGGUGAAAUUCGUAGAUAUUGGGGAGAACACCGAUGGCGAAGGCAGCCAUCUGGACCGACACUGACGCUGAGGCGCGAAAGCGUGGGGAGCAAACAGG